CAGUCGCCGCGGUAAUACGGAGGGGGCUAGCGUUGUUCGGAAUUACUGGGCGUAAAGCGCACGUAGGCGGCUUGGUAAGUUAGAGGUGAAAGCCCGGAGCUCGACUCCGGAAUUGCCUUUAAGACUGCCGAGCUAGUAGGUGAGAGAGGUAAGUGGAAUUCCGAGUGUAGAGGUGAAAUUCGUAGAUAUUCGGAAGAACACCAGUGGCGAAGGCGGCUUACUGGCUCAUUCUAGACGCUGAGGUGCGAAAGCGUGGGGAGCAAACAGGAUUAGAUACCCCCGUAGUCCCUGUCUCUUAUAC
rnacentral:rRNA from 1 species